GAUGAACGCUAGCGGCAGGCUUAAUACAUGCAAGUUGAGGGGCAGCAUGAUAUACGCGAGUAUAUUGAUGGCGACCGGCGGACGGGUGAGUAAUAGGUAGGAGACCUACCUCAUACAGGGGGAUAGCAUAGAGAAAUCUGUGGUAAUACCCCAUGAGGUUAUAUGAAUAGAGGCAUAUAAUCAAAGCAUAAGCGAUUAUGCGGUAUGAGAGGGGCCUACUGACCAUUAGCUAGUUGGUGAGGUAAGGGCUCACCAAGGCGAAGAUGGUUAGGGGUUUUGAGAGAGAGACCCCCCACAUUGGAACUGAGAGACGGUCCAGACUCCUACGGGAGGCAGCAGUAGGGAAUAUUGGGCAAUGGGCGAAAGCCUGACCCAGCCAUGCCGCGUGAAGGAAGACGGCCUUAUGGGUUGUAAACUUCUUUACUACGCGAAUAGAGGUUAGUACGAGAUACUAAUAGGAAGGUAGUGUAGUAAAAGCAACCGGCUAACUCCGUGCC
rnacentral:rRNA from 1 species